GAACGGCGCGACUGCAAAGAUUACGUGAGCAUCUUCGUCUGCAGUGAUUGGCAGCUCCUGCGGCAUUUUGAUACGGACACCCAGGAUCUCACAGGGAUUGAGUGGGCCCCAAACGGCUGUGUGCUGGCAGUGUGGGACACCUGCUUGGAGUACAAGAUUCUGCUGUACUCAUUGGACGGCCGGUUGUUGUCCACGUACAGCGCUUACGAGUGGUCCCUGGGCAUCAAGUCUGUGGCCUGGAGCCCCAGCAGUCAGUUCCUGGCAGUUGGGAGCUACGAUGGAAAGGUGCGCAUCCUUCAUCACGUGACUUGGAAAAUGAUCACGGAGUUUGGGCAUCCUGCAACCAUUAAUGAUCCCAAGACAGUGGUGUAUAAGGAGGCCGAGAAGAGCCCACAGCUGGGACUGGGCUGCCUCUCCUUCCCGCCCCCCAGGGCCGGGGCCGGCCCUCUCCCGAGCUCAGAGAGUAAAUGUAAGUAGCACAUGUGAUGUCAUUUGUUUUCCUUUUUUAAUGCAAGAUUCCUCGUUGUCCAGAUAAACUUCGGAUGUUCCUUCUGUUUAAAAAAAAAAAACACUUUUUUUCCUUUCCAUGCUUCCAGCCAGCGUGCCCCUCAGCCUGUGGGCUGGAGGUUGACUGGGGUCUGAAUUGCACAGUGGGCCGUGAAGGUGCAGCUUCUGUUACUGAAUAUGAGCCCUGGAGACCCGGAUCUGACAGCGGGAGCUCCGAGGGGAUGGAUGUUUUUCAAAGAAACACUUUUCCGUGGGUGGUGCUCAGAGUGGGUCUGGAAGCCGGCGGUGCUCCUGAGCGCUGUCUCCGGCUUGAGGCCCGGUUCUGAUGCAGCCUCUUGACUCUGGGCAUUUCCUAUGUGUCUGUUUCCUCAUCGCUGAAAUGGGCAUAGUAAAAGCACCCACCCCACAGGGGCAUGAGGGCAUCUGAAGGUUGCAGGUAGAGGAAGCGGUGCCCCGAGUGCCGACGGGCCCACCCCGGGGCUCGGUGUGUGCUCAGGAUGGGGGUCAGGACAGGUGCAGCCUGGCACACAGGAGGCGCUCCCCAGGAGCCCAGGGGCGUCCUUGCUCCACAGCCCC
rnacentral:sRNA from 1 species